ACAAGCGGUGGAGCAUGUGGUUAAUUUGACGCAACGCGAAGAACCUUACCAGGGCUUGACAUCCCCUGACCGCGUAUGAAAGUACGUUUUCACCCUCGGGUGACAGGGAGACAGGUGGUGCAUGGUUGUCGUCAGCUCGUGUCGUGAGAUGUUGGGUUAAGUCCCGCAACGAGCGCAACCCCUACGUUUAGUUGCUAACGCGUGAAGGCGAGCACUCUAGACGAACUGCCGUUGACAAAACGGAGGAAGGUGGGAUGACGUCAAAUCAUCAUGCCCCUUAUGUUCUGGGCUACACACGUGCUACAAUGGCCGGUACAGACGGACGCAAAGCCGCGAGGUGGAGCAAAUCCUAAAAAGCCGGUCUCAGUUCGGAUUGCAGGCUGCAAUUCGCCUGCAUGAAGUCGGAAUCGCUAGUAAUCGCAGGUCAGCAUACUCGCGGUCGAAUACGUUCCCGGGCCUU
rnacentral:rRNA from 1 species